rnacentral:sRNA from 1 species
GAGCGCCAGAUGGGUCUCCGGACACCGG